rnacentral:rRNA from 1 species
CGGAGGAUCCAAGCGUUGUCCGGUAUUUAGUUGGGUUUAAAGGGUGCGUAGGCGGACUUAUAAGUCAGAGGUGAAAGCCGGUAGCUUAACUAUCGAAUUGCCUUUGAAACUGCAAGUCUUGAAUUUUGUUGAGGUAGGCGGAAUGUAUCAUGUAGCGGUGAAAUGCAUAGAUAUGAUACAGAACACCGAUUGCGAAGGCAGCUUACUAAGCAAUAUUGACGCUGAGGCACGAAAGCGUGGGGAUCAAACAGGAUU